rnacentral:rRNA from 1 species
GACGUAGGGUCCGAGCGUUGUCCGGAUUUACUGGGCGUAAAGAGCGCGCAGGCGGUCCUUUAAGUCUGAUGUGAAAGCCCACGGCUCAACCGUGGAGGGUCAUUGGAAACUGGGGGACUUGAGUGCAGAAGAGGAGAGCGGAAUUCCACGUGUAGCGGUGAAAUGCGUAGAGAUGUGGAGGAACACCAGUGGCGAAGGCGGGUCUCUGGGCCGAAAUUGACGCUGAGGAGCGAAAGCGUGGGGAGCAAACAGG